rnacentral:ribozyme from 14 species
AGUAUUGAUAGCGCAUAUGCUGGUAUAUUAUUGUUUAAUAUGGGUUCGUUAUUUGCCAUGUCGAUUAUACAUAUACCAUAUAUUAUUAUAUAAUAUACCAUAUAAUAACAUAAUACAUCAUACAGAAAAAUC